rnacentral:rRNA from 1 species
UCGAGAAUCUUCCGCAAUGGGCGCAAGCCUGACGGAGCGACGCCGCGUGAUUGAUGAAGUCCCUCUGGGACGUAAAAAUCUUUUAUGAGGGAGAAAGUUUAUUGAUAGUACCUCAUGAAUAAGGGGUUGCUAAACUCGUGCCAGCAGCAGCGGUAAUACGAGUGCCCCGAGCGUUAUCCGGAAUCAUUGGGCGUAAAGGGUGUGUAGGUGGUUAUGUUAGUCUUUUGUAAAAUCCCGGGGCUCAACUUCGGAACUGUGAAAGAAACGGCAUAACUUGAGGGUGCGAGGGGUCUGUGGAACUCAUGGAGUAGGGGUGAAAUCCGUUGAUAUCAUGGGGAACACCAAAAGCGAAGGCAGCAGACUGGCACAUUCCUGACACUGAAACACGAAAGCGUGGGUA